UAAGGUCAUUUAUGUUCAGAAAUGGAUGUAGCUGGCUUAUCAGCCAAAGCUGAUAAAAAGCACUCCUGGCCACUGCCUCAACCUGAGAGUUCAGGGAGAUCUCACUUAGGAGCAGAAAAUGCACUUUGUGGGCAGACCAUAAACCCUUAUCUGUUUUAUUUACUGCUCGGGGAUCAAGUUGAAUAACCCCAAGAAUAGCCAGAAAAUCACCAGACUUAUAGAUUUUGAUUUCCAGUUGGAAUAUCUUCCAGGUCUUCAAAAUACAACUGCAGAUUGUUUAUCUUGACUUGCACUUUCAGGCUAAGAGGGGAUCCCAGGAUGAGGCUGAAGGAAUCAUAAUUGUGCAAAUAGCUUCAUUCACUCACGAAGUAACCACAUCUUUUGAAUGGAAAGUGGACCUCAGUGCUGAUCAAGUGCUUACUGAACUUAAACCUUACAUAACUAAUGGAUAGCCACACAAAACAAGGUACCGGAACAUCUUCAACUAUGCAUGCCUGUACCAAGUGAGCUGUUUCUUCUUAAUGAGCUGGUGCUGAGGACUGAUAGUUUUGAUCACUUUUGCGCCUUACAAGCAAAAAUGAUCAAAAUUGCCCCAAAAAGAUCAUGUGUGCAUGAGAUUGACUAAAAGGUGAAUCAGAGAAAGUUUCUGGUGGCCAGGUAUGGACAAAUGGUAUGGACAUUGAAGAUGUGGCUUGUGCAGAAGUCUUUUGCCAUCCCCUUGGCUCCCAUGGUCUCUGGGGAAAAUCUUGCUCUGGAUAUAAUGGGAUCUUUUGAUAAUCAACCAACAAACCAAAGAUGUGUUAUAGUGAUGGUGGGUUACUAUUCCAAGUGGCUAUAAGUUUCAUUUGCUGACAUACUACAAACGAAGUGAUCCAAUUAAUGGCUGCAGUUUUUGCGAGAGGAAGUCUUCCUAAUGAACUAGUGAGUAACAAUGAGACACUGCUUACCUUAUUUGAAAUGGAGCAAUAUUUGCAAAACCAUGGGAUAAAACACAACACUAUUUCCUUCUACCAUCCUAGAGGGAAUGGCUUAGUGGAAAGAAUACACUACACAACAACAAUGCUGGAAAGAGGCAAUCCAUGAAACUCUAUUUCCUUAUCGAACUACUCCUCAUCCCACUGCAGGAAAAUCACAUUUUGAAUUGCCGAGAGGAUGCAAAGCUGCCGCCAAACUUAGCAAUGGCAACAACUGAUAGGGCUUUCCAUGCCAUCUCACCCUGAGGAUGCAGAGAUUCAUGAUCGGAUUGGCCUGGAGAAAAUCAUUCUGACUGUUUGAUGAGCUGCUGCAGCAAGGCCUUGUCAUAUGCUAACAGUGGUGACAUGGGACAAUUUAGAGUGGCCUCUACGUGGAAGGAAUGUGUACACCAGCCCGAACUGUCCACGUGCGAAUACCUCCUGUUCUUACUGGAUGAAGCUUCAAAGCAAGUCGCCAAAUUGCAUUUACCUUCCGAUUGAUUAAAGUCCUCUUCUUUUUAAAAAUA